GAUGAACGCUGGCGGCGUGCCUAACACAUGCAAGUCGAACGAAGCUUGACGGAUGAUUUCUUCGGAAUGAAACCAGAUGUGACUUAGUGGCGGACGGGUGAGUAACACGUGAGCAACCUGCCUUUCAGAGGGGGAUAACGGCUGGAAACGGUCGCUAAUACCGCAUGAUGUGUUCGGAUGGCAUCAUCUGAACAUCAAAGAUUUAUCGCUGAAAGAUGGGCUCGCGUCUGAUUAGAUAGUUGGUGGGGUAACGGCCUACCAAGUCUACGAUCAGUAGCCGGACUGAGAGGUUGAACGGCCACAUUGGGACUGAGAUACGGCCCAGACUCCUACGGGAGGCGGCAGUGGGGAAUAUUGCACAAUGGGGGAAACCCUGAUGCAGCAACGCCGCGUGAAGGAUGACGGUUUUCGGAUUGUAAACUUCUUUUCUUAGUGACGAAGACAGUGACGGUAGCUAAGGAAUAAGCAUCGGCUAACUACGUG
rnacentral:rRNA from 1 species